AUAUGCCACCAACUUUCAGCGAGAUGGAAUCUGCAGCUGCUUUUAUCUGCAUUAGGAAAUAAAUUACUCUUGCAGCAUUGUGCAUGUCCUGUUCAAAGUCAAUAUGUAUUGUAAUUGGAGAGAGCACUAAAAUACACUUUCUUAAAUACCAGAAGUUUAAACACUGUGAACUUUAUUUUGGAAAAGUAAUGCACAAUAAUGCGGAGACGUGAAACUUGAUUUUUGCU
rnacentral:lncRNA from 1 species